rnacentral:lncRNA from 1 species
GUUGGAGAACAGCUAUUGAGUCACAAGAAAGAAAGACUAGAACAUUAUCAAAGAGGGAUAAUGAAUGUUUAUUGUAAGCAACACACCAGAUUUAAAGCUCUUCUCGAGAGACACAAUCUAUGCUCCCCAAUCCUCCCCAGAAUGUGAACAGGGGAGUUAACCUGUUCCCAGGAGAUCUUGGAACUGUUCAUGCAGCCUUGAACUGAGAUUUCUAUGUUUUGGUGUACUCAGCAGGAAUGGUAUGUCACAAACACCUGGGAAGAGGAACUCCAUUCCAUGAAGUCAUGAAAGGUUCACUGCACCUUGUGACUGGUUCUCUGAUCUUCUUUGAGGCACCAGAAAAUGAUUCAAAGUCAAGUAAGGUCACCUCUUUAUUCAGCAAAGACAGUAGUAAUGAAAAGUUCUAAGGGAGUAAAUACUUCUGAGGGAGAGAUGAACAAAAAGAGAAAGAAGAGAGUGAGAGAGAAACAAAGAAAGGAAAACUGUGUUCCAAAAGACUUAAGCAAUUUGUUCAAGAAUGUUAUUGUGCUAUGAAGAAAUGUAUGUGAAGGGUACAGAGAAGUAAGGGAAGUCUUAUUAGAGCUGUUGCAUUUUCAAGUAAGCAAGAUCAGGUAGAUGACUUAAAUAAUGAUUGCAACAAUAGAGGUAUAAAGUGCAGCAGCAACAACAACAACAACAACAACAACAACAAAAACAUUAAUAUACUGUGCAAUUAAAAUGGCCAGAUUUGAUCCUUCUGAA